rnacentral:lncRNA from 1 species
CUAUAUACAGGAUCAGUUCCAAUAGCAUAUUUACAAUGUGCAGGGAUACUGGAGUGAUGGAGGUAGAUAUGUAUAGGGGUAAGGUGACAGGGAUACUGGAGUGAUGGAGGUAGAUAUGUAUAGGGGUAAGGUGACAGGGAUACUGGAGUGAUGGAGGUAGAUAUGUAUAGGGGUAAGGUACUAUAUACAGGGUCAGUUCCAGUAGCAUAUUUACAAUGUGCAGGGAUACUGGAGUGAUGGAGGUAGAUAUGUAUAGGGGUAAGGUACUAUAUACAGGAUCAGUUCCAGUAGCAUAUUUACAAUGUGCAGGGAUACUGGAGUGAUGGAGGUAGAUAUGUAUAGGGGUAAGGUACUAUAUACAGGGUCAGUUCCAGUAGCAUAUUUACAAUGUGCAGGGAUACUGGAGUGAUGGAG